rnacentral:lncRNA from 1 species
AUGGGCCGGCCCAUGGGCCAUUAUAGUGAAGCUAGGGCUUUAGGCCUCCACUUGAUUAGGGCCUCCAGUUUGAUAAAAAAUUUACAUUAGUAAACUGGGCUUGAGGAAAGAAAGUAUGGAAAUUGGGCCCAUGUAAAAAUAUGAAAUUAGCGGCCUUUAGAGUAUAGGCGCAAGAAAUCAGAUUUGGCGAAGACAAAUUAGGUUGGAACUUAGGAAUUGAAUCGUUCUCAUGGAGUUUUGCCUUCUGCUACUCUCAUAGUUCGAUGGCGGAAUCAGAGAUUCAAGUAUAACGUCUCUCUUUCUAUUCUAAAUCUAAACCUUAUGUUCCUCUGCGAUUGUGUGAAGGUUCUGGUAAGUUGAUUGCUUGGAAAAAGGGUGCAAUCUGUUCAUUCAGUUUUAUUGUUUAAAGAAAGGAAGCACUUAGUUUAAUAUGGAACUUUGAGAAUAAGUCAGAUGAGACUACAAGAGCUACUAGGGACGUGAAUGCGCAAAGAAACAACCCAACUAUAACAUGAACCUUUUUUAUUGGUACAUUUAUCGUUUUACCGUUUUACUAUAGGCGUUGUUUAUAUUUAGUAUGUUAAUCCCACCGUCUCACAUAUGAGUUUACAUUUGAUCUUAUUUUUAAAUGUCAAAUGGUGUUUCAGUAGUCAUUUUAAAGCCUAGAUAAAAGAUAUCCUGGUGCUUCAAUAGUCGUUUUAAAGCCUAGAUAAAAGAUAUCGUUUUUAAUAAUGAAAACUAGAAAGGCCCAAAAUUUUCGUUUCGCUUUAGGCCUCUAAGAAGGUUGAGAGGGUAGGUUAGUAAUUUUACCUAUUAUAUUUAAAAUACAUAUUAUUUUACCAAUCAUUCACAUCCACAGAACCAAAUCUUAUCCCCUUUCUUUAUCUCCUCUCCCAUGUCUCUCUCUCUCUAGAAAACAGCCGUCCACCACCCUUGGUGGUGGAGCCACAGCUGAAGCGCCAACCACCACCACCACCCCAUCCUUCGACACCCACCCACCACCACCUACAACCCCACUUCUUUUGGUCCACCCUCUUUCCACCUCCCUCCUAAUCUCCCCAACCUCCAACCUAAACACCCCCUUCCAGAUUCCCAGAAUCUAAAAACACAAAAGUUAUCAAUAACCCAAACCAUAAAACUUAUCAAAAACCUAGGACCAAUAAACAACAGUUUCCUCCAUGAAUCGGCGGUGUUCGAUUGACAAACUUUGAAGAUUCCGAGAAGGAAAGCGAGUGCGAAAGGUUUGUUUGUCCGAUCAACUUCUGGGUUUAUAGAUCUGUGCUUCUUUAGCUGUUCGUUCGAUCGGAUUGUUGUUUUUCAGUUUUGAUCUUGAUCUACGGUUCCUUGUUUUUUAAUUAGAUGGUGCCUUUGUUGUUAUGAAAUUGUAAUGUAAUUACAAUUUUGGUAAUUGUGGAAUUAAAUUCUAUGAAUUCACCGAUUCUGC